CUAUGACAGACACACAUACAGUCUUACUGACAAACACAUAUACUUUUUAACAGACACACAUACACGCUCACUGACAAACUCACAUACUCUUUGACAGACACACAUAUACUCUCACUGACAAACACAUAUACACUCUCACUGACAAACACAUAUACACUCUCACUGACAAGCACACACUCUCACUGACAAACACAUAUACACUCACACACUCACUGACAAGCACACACUCUCACUGACAAACACACAUAUACUCUUUGACAGACACACAAACACAUACAAACUCUCUAACAGGCACACAUACAAUUUAUUAUUUUGUUUUAAUUUU